UGUGAGAUCUAUCUGCUCCUUUGUCUUUUUUCCUCCUUUCUGGCAUUUUUCUGUCAUCAUUUCAUCCUUUAGUUUUAUAUAAUUAUAAAUAUUCUAUAUAAAUAUGCAUAAACAUUUUCAUUAUUAACACAUUUUGCUACAAUACCAAGUCAAUUAUAACAUUUUACAGCUUUCCCCCCCCCUUCGUUUGUUUUUCCCCUCUCUUUUUGUUUUUCUGUUCUCUCCUUCUCAGUGCCACGUGUCUCUUUCUCCACUCAAACACAUGGUUUUGAUAAAUGGAAGACAAGAGAAGAGGAGAAACACAGAAACUCCCUCUUGCCAGUAAGUUUUACAACAGCUCCGUGACUCCCGGCCUCAGGAAUCCAUGGUCUUACACAACAGCAGUGGUCAGGGGUGAGAGGGAGAGUUGUGUAAGAAAUGUCUGAAAAAGAUAGACGUGAGUGGUGUAUCAGGCUAUAUUUUGACUCUGGUGGGCUAUAGUAGAAGGCGGGAUGAUGCCAGCAACCUGUGUUAAAAGUAACAGGAGGUGUUUUUUUUUUUGUUUUUUUUGAGGAAUGGGGAAGGUGUGGUUUUGAGAAUAUGGGCGGAGCUACAACAUGUUUUUAUAAGAGUAGUAGGACUCAGAAGAUUCAUCCUGCGCUGUUAAACAAUCUUUUGUGUUCUCUCAUCCUGAAAUCUGAUUUAAUGGACUAUAUCACACUAUUUCUGGACUUUCGCAUUUAUUUUUGCUUUCAUACUGGAAUUUUUACACCUACAUCUUUAUGGGAGAAUUUGGAGGAGUGAUGAAUUUGGAGCAGUGAUGAUUUUGGGUAUCUAGUUUGUCACAUGUUGGAGUCAUGAACUCUCUGUGUUAUCAUUGGUGAGACCUACAAGAUUUUGGUGAAGAGGAAAUGCUUUGAUCUGGACAAAAACCUUCAAAUUCUUGUGGUUUGGCUGUUCCUUCUUGUGCGUCUAGUUGUUACAGGGGCACGUUUGAGUCAGAAGUGGAACUGAUAAAUCACAGACUAUACUUCACAUUUCUAAUCAAUGCUUUUAAUGUCUCUUGUCAAUUUGUCUUUGUCCUUUUAAAGUUUUUUUUUUAUUUUAUUUUAAAAAAAAUACAGAAUUUAAACUUUUAUUAGGGCAAAACAUGUUGCUGAUUAUGUCGUGCAUUAUUUUUUCUGCUUUUCUGCUUCAAGGUCUGACACUGCCAAGUUUAUCUUCUUUUAGAGGCUGAAUGUAUGAUUAAUAAUUCUUAGAGUGGCUGUGAAUCAGUGUGUUUGUGUGUGUGUGUGUGUGUGUGUGUGUGUGUGUGUGUGUGUGUGUGUGUGUGUGUGUGUGUGUGUGUGUGUGUGUGUGUGUGUGUGUGUGUGUGUGUGUGUGUGUGUGUGUGUGUGUGUCCAUCCAUGCACGAUGCCCUUAGCCCUGAACAGUAAGAGUUUAUGUGCUGAGGUUCAAGUAUCAGCACAUGGUCUCUUACUUGUAGGGAAAAGAGUCUUUAUCGACUUCUCAUCUUUUUUUCAAAGUAUUCACUUUGUUUUGGAAGAUCAACAUUUAAUUUUAAUCUUUCAGCAACAAAUAAGUAAUGUCACAAGUUUAGCGAACAUAUGGCAACAAUUUUCAGAAAGAUUCAAAAGUAAACUUUAAUAGUAUAGAUAUUAAAACAUAGAAGAAUAGAGAACCUUUUUAAAUCAAGAAUGGGCCAUUAUUGACAAUUUUCUGCUAAAUUAUGAAAUGUAAUGCUCAACAUGGUUUAGACUAGAUGCAUUAUUUUUUUUUUUUUUUUUUUUUUUUUUAAACUCUGGAAAAAAAUAAAAUAAAACAAAAAUUCAAAUGGAGACCCAUAAUGCUUGGAUCCAAAAAUGCUUAAAAAUGUAGAUAACCCUUGGCAAAAAUAUAUUAUUUAAUUAAAAAAAAAAAAAUUAAAUAAAAAAAGGCCAUCAAUUUAAAUAUUUAGGACCGUCACAAGUUCAUAAUACAAAAGGCAACAUAUUUCAGAAGCUAGAAAAAAUAUAUAUAUAUUUUUUAAUUUAAUGUAUGUAUAGGAAGUGGCUAUAUUUAUUGCUGUCUGCCAAAUUAUAAAAAAUGUAAUGAUCAACAUGAUUUAGAUGCAUUUUUUAAACUUGGAUCCAUGAUCCAAAGUUGCUUUAAAUGUAAAUAACCCUGGGCAAAAAUAUUUAAUUAAUUUAAACAACUGCUAUAAAAAUUAAGGAAUGUGACAAGU